rnacentral:misc_RNA from 1 species
GAUGAAGAACGUAGCGAAAUGCGAUAAGUAAUGUGAAUUGCAGAAUUCAGUGAAUCAUCGAAUCUUUGAACGCAUCUUGCGCUCCUUGGUAUUCUGAGGAGCAUGCCUGUUUGAGUGUCAUUAAAUUCUCAACUACACUGACUUUGAAUUGGUGUGGCUUGGAUUUGGGGGGAAAAUUGUUGUGGGCUUUUUGUAUAGUCUGCUCCCCUGAAAUUGAUUAGCGGUACCUUUGUGGAACUGUCUACAGGUGUGAUAAUUAUCUACAUCUUAGACAUCUGCUGGAAUGCUGCUCUCUAAACCUUACUUGUAUUAACAAUCUUGACCUCAAAUCAGGUAGGACUACCCGCUGAACUUAAGCAUAUCAAUAAGCGGAGGA